GAUGACAUAUAAUAAUAAUGCUUGUGCUUUCUGAUUGUUACAUUAAUAACACAAAAUGUUACAUUAAUAACACAAAUGUUAAAUAGUUUUGGAAGAAGAUAGAACCUCACACUGCAAAACAUGAAACUGUGCAAGAUCAUGGAUGCAUACACCUUAAAAAUAAAGCAUCACAAUUAUCUCAUUACUGAUUAAUUUCUUUCCAAUGUGCGUGCAUUGUGUAUCUCUCUCACUCUAAAUUGUUUAACCAAAUAUAUUAUAUAUAUAUAUAUAUAUAUAUAAAGAAUCCUCAUCAUGGUGUGUAUGUGUAACCUUGUGCUUCUUGCUGCUUCUCAUACUCUUCCAUAGUCUCAAACUCAUUUUGAUAUUGAUUCUUUUCAUAGUUACCUUCAUUUUCAGUGCUUCCUCUCCCUGAUUCAUAUCCAUUAACGUUGUUAUACUUCUCAUUUUCACUAUUUACAUUGUAAUAGUACUUUCCAUUCUCCAUAAACCUUGUGUCACUCAUUCCUUCUCCUUUCCUCUCAUAAUUGUUGUUGUAAAACUCCUUUCCAUUGUAGCUGUUGUAACUGUUCUUGUUCUCUUCAUUGUUGUAGUUUUUUGUGUACACUUCAUUGUUGUUGUGGAAGUUUGUUUGAGGAUAUCCUUUUUUGUAGCUUUUAUUAUCAUUGAAGUCUUCAUUGAGAAGCUCAUCUUCAAAAUCUGUUAAUGUGGUUUUUGGAGUUUCCUUGGUUGGAGAAUAUUGGCUAGAAUCAAUGCCAUAGAGACCGUAACCGUUUCCCGUUUCGACUAAAAAUUGAGGUUCUGGUGCUGGUCCUGAUGGUAUAUUAGUUGAUUCAAUCUCUGGUGCAGCUCCAGGUUCUGGUGCCGGGGCUGGAGAUUGAGGUAAUUGAGGAUCUUCAACAUUGUGGGUGGUUUUGAAAUGAGUAAAGAAGCUAAAGAACUUGUUUUGUCUAGCUUGAAUUUGGGGUGAGAGGAAAAGUACCAAUAAGAAAAGGAAAGAGACUUGGUUUGCAAGAGAAGCCAUGUGUGUGUGAAACGGAGCGGAACAGAAUAGAACAGACAAUGAGUUAUGACUGUUGAGAGAAUCAAAUUGUUAGGGUCAUUUUAUAGAUCAAAAGACCAGUAAAUUAUGCGAGGAUUGUGGAAGGGUAAGUAAAUGUGGGGUAUAGUAUAAGAAAAUUAAUGACUUAUAAGGUCAUGAUAUGCAUGUGCAAGGUUUUGGAAGGUCAGCAUGGGAGACAUAAAGAUAGGUAAUGUAGGGCAAACAUAGUAAAAAAUGACAGUUUUUGCUUUUUCUUUUAACUUGUUACUCUUUUGUUAUAUGAAUUCAAAAUUGUUUGGAGGGCCUACCACAAUUCUUUGUCUUCAUUGUUAGGUAACUAUAAUGUAGAUGCUUGUUAGGAAAAAAGGGAGGGAAAGAUGGAAGACAAUUGUAAGUGGGAGUGUGAACUAUCAGAUUGUACAAUUACACAAUCAUGCAAUGGGCAAUCUCUGAACUGUCAAGAGUAAAAUUGAACAGUU
rnacentral:lncRNA from 1 species